rnacentral:lncRNA from 1 species
UUAUGCAUGUGUUUGCAUGUUAGUCAAGUCUACAAAAUUUUCUUUAAAUAAUACAUAUAUUCUUAGCGGUAGUUUUGGACCUUUGGUAUCUUUCAUUCAGUUUUGAUGAUUCCAAAUUGGUCCUGAUCAAAAAUAUAAUACAGGGGGAGUCUGCUAACAGACAUACAAUGUCUAGCUGUUACUAUGUAUAAAGAAAGUUGGUGAUCGUAUUUGUAUGUCAUUUUUCUUGUCCUAUAAUCCUUUUAGUAUUAAUUAAAUCAUUAAUGGUUGGUAAGAUUUGUCUCCUAUUCGAAAAAACUUCGGUUCUGAUUUAUUUUACUUACAAAGUAACAAUCAUCCUAUACAUUUUCUAGUUAAACAGGGGAUUAAUUCUAUUUCAUUUUAUUAGUAUUAUUUUUUAUUUUUUAUUUAAAUUUUUAAUUAAAAAGUAACAAAAUAUAUUGGAGGUCCAUUUGUUUCAAUAGUUAACCAAAAAAUUAUUAAUACUCUUACACCUAGGUUUGGAGUUCAAGUACCAGAAAACAACGCAGUUUCUUUCAUAUUAAUGGUGCAACCUUAUCGGAGGUCCAGAGUGCGCAUGAAGAGCAUUUCCAUCACAUGGAUGUCGUACAUGCAUGACCUUCCGUUGAAGGUCCGAGUGUGUCGGGGAGAGCUGCGCCGUGAAACCAUUGUUUGGAGAAGCUGCUCAUCAUAAUUGCAUAUGUUACAAGUUGUUAAAUAAUAUCAUAAUAUGAUUAGAUUAAAUAUCUCUAGUAAAAAUAUAAUAACAUGACAAAAGAAAAGAAUGCAGACAAUAAGCUUUUGAAAUGCA